rnacentral:lncRNA from 1 species
AGGAGAUCUAUAAAAUAUGAUUUACAAGUUAAAUUAGAGAGCUCGUAGACAAGUCAUCCAAAUAAAAAUAAAAAUAAAUAAUUCUUUUAUUGAGUAUGUGAAACAAUUCUUAUGAAAUGGUUUGCCUGAAAAACUGAUUUAUCUAUUGUCAAUGAAAAGAAUCCUAAGUUCGCAGUCCUAAUACUUGACAAUAGUGAUUCGAUAUGUUCGAUCAUAAACGAUAUGUUGAUUAAAUCAUGCUCUGAUCUAUUUGAAUAGCAAAUAGUAAAACAGAAAGAGAGAGAGUGACAGAGAUAAAGAGUUCAUUGAUUAAUCAAAUCAAACCUGACGAUGCAUAAUGGCCACGUGUUUGAUAUGAGCGUAACAAAUGGCACGCGUCGACUUUAAAUAUGUGCGCAUUGAAUUUAAUAUAUAAAAUUAUUGAAUCCUUUGAAUUCUCUUUGAAUGUCAACGAAUUGAGGACAUUGAAGAAAUCUUUAACGACUUAUAAAGGGAAAGCCAAGUUAAUAGGACACCGAUUUUUUUUAAAUUCUAGGGGUCCAUCCGAACCAUAUACACUGUGCAAGUAGUGAAAAGAUAACACAAAUAACUGCGUUACCUCCAUAUAUUUGAUUUUCUUAUAUAUGAAGAAAUAGUCAUAGGCGUAUCUUGAAUAAACAAAUUCCAUAAAAAGAGCAUGCUUCGCUUAAGUCUCGCUGUCAUCAUUAAAUUAUAAUAUGUGCUAGGAUCGUAUAAACUGAAUGAUUUGCGUUUCUUCGAGGUCGUACGUAAAAUAUGACAUGUUGCUUAUAAAACAAGAAAAAAAUCGUUUGUUUAUUAUUUUUAA